rnacentral:lncRNA from 1 species
CUUUUUAGGGCCGCACCUGCGGCAUAUGGAAGUUCCCAGGCUGUGGGUCGAAUUGGAGCUUCAGCUGCUGACCUACCUCACAGCCACAGCAAAGCAGGAUCCAAGCCGCGUCUAUAACCUACAGCACAGUUCACACCAAUGCCAUAUCCUUAACCCAUUGAGGGAGGCCAAGGAUUGAACCCAAGUCCUCAUGGAUACUAGAUAGGCUCAUUAGCACUGCGCCACAACAGGAACUCUGCAAUAGGUAUUUCCACCUCAUAGCAGGAAAUGGCAGGAUACUGCGAAAUAGUGUCGUGUGUUUCCACCAGCUGAAGGCCUCAGUGUGUAAAAGUUGCAAGGUAAUGUUCCUUCUUCCUCAGAAAUUUAGCCGUAAGUCUAAAAUAUCAACUGCCUAGACCAGCCCUUCCAGAGAUGACCAGAUGGUCUUCCACUGUCUAGGUAAACAUGUUUCCAUCAUUCCCCCUUCCUGUCCACAAAUUCUCGAAGGAAGAGAGAAGAACCCAAUGUAAAUAAGCAUCUUCUUCAUUCAUCUUGCAGAGAUGGGGAGGCAGCAGGCCAAUUUAAUGGUAAAGAACUAGGUUGUAAAUCUGCCAUUGCUAAUAGAGAUGUGUAUGAGGUGCUAGAGAAAUCCAAGGAUGGAAAUAAAGGUCAAAAUUCAGCAAAGGAGUGAAUCAUGAAAGACUUUUAAUGCCAGGAUUUUUUUUUUUUCUUUUAAGGCCGCACCUCCAGCAUAUGGAAGUUCCCAGGCUAGGGGUCCAAUCAAUUGGAGCUGCAGCUGCUGGCCUACACCACAGCCACAGCAAUGCCAGAUCUGAGCCACAUCUGCAACCUACGCUACAGCUUGCAGCAACUCUGAUCCUUAACCCACUGAAUGAAGUCAGGGUUUGAACCCUCAUCCUUAUGGAUACUAGUCAGAUUCCUUUCCAUUAAGCCACAGCAGGAACUUCAGAACUGGGUUGUUGUGUCUUGCUUUGUGGGGUUUUGUUUUUUAACUGAAAAAUUUAUCUUAUUUUUUUACUUUACGGAAAAAUUUAGGUACUAGAAACCACAUGAUGUUUAACAUGUAUCAUUUGAUCAUUUUUGACAGAUCUACAUCUGCAGAGUCAUUACUGUAAUGAAAAUAAACAAACACAGCCAUGAUCCCCCCAGAGUUUCUUCACA